GCUCGCUUCGGCAGCACAUACUAAAAUUGGAACGAUACAGAGAAGAUUAGCAUCACCCCUGCACAAGGAAAAAUCUCUUCAUGUUUCCCAGUCCAGAUAUAUAU